UACGAAGGGGGCUAGCGUUGUUCGGAAUUACUGGGCGUAAAGCGCACGUAGGCGGGUUGUUAAGUCAGGGGUGAAAUCCCGGAGCUCAACUCCGGAACUGCCUUUGAUACUGGCAAUCUAGAGACUGGAAGAGGUUAGUGGAAUUCCCAGUGUAGAGGUGAAAUUCGUAGAUAUUGGGAAGAACACCAGUGGCGAAGGCGGCUAACUGGUCCAGUACUGACGCUGAGGUGCGAAAGCGUGGG
rnacentral:rRNA from 1 species